ACCAUUUUCCAGUCAUGUUGAGAAGAAGUCUUCGUUUGGAGGAUGCAGGCUAUUACACAGAGGAGGGGACUCCAAUCAUUUCCUACAGGGAGGCCUGUUACAGGGUCUUUCAGAGGAGGAAAGGUCACCGUAGUCAUCACCACGAGUCAGUAGGCCACGAUGAAAACACCAGUAACACCAGUGAGACACAAAAUCUGAAUAUUGAGACCAGAGUCCCCACUCAGGCCAAUCACACUCGGACCCCUGCAGUACAGAUCAUCAUCAGCUGUCUCUGCGUCCUGCUCCUUCUGGUCGUUGGACUCACAGAUAUGCAACUAAAGGACAUACAUAUGCAACUAAAAGAGGUCCAGCAGGACGUAGAGAUUCUGAGGCAACAUGUGAUCAUGUCUGUUCCUCCGGCAUCGAACUUUGCAUUAGAAUCGCAAGGCGAGUCAUGUUCAUCUGUCUCAUCAGGAUUUAUACACGCGCUUUAUGGUGGAACUUGUUUAGAGCUUGAUUCCUAACUUUGUAUGUGUGUCUUUGAUUUGUGUGAAUGCAGGUGCCAGAAUUUCAAAAGAUUUAUCUUCGGACACAUAUUGGCCUCCAGGACUCGGAACAAUAUGGGAUGAAAUACACAAAUGGUUGUAUUCAUCCAAAGCGCAGCAAAGAGUUAUCCAGGGACAUUUAUCAUUAAUUCCUGGAAAAUGCUGGCCCUUUUCAGGUGACCGAGGGCAUUUAGUCAUCGCCCUGUCACACCCAGUUUCCAUCACUAGUGUGACACUCGGCCACAUAAUGAAGAAACAGUCCCCAUAUGAAUCCAUCUCCAGUGCACCGAGGGAAUUUUCAAUCUAUGGAAUGAGGACUACUGACGAGGAAGGAACCUAUUUGGGAACACUGGUUUAUGAUGAAGACGGCGCAGCAUUUCAGACCUUUAAACUGCCUAAUCCAGACAAAGGAAUCUUCCAAUAUGUGAAGCUACAGAUUGACAGCAACUGGGGAAACAUAGACUACACCUGCCUGUACAGCUUUAUGGUUCACAAUACUUUAAGUUGAAGGUAAAUUAACCGCAAAACACCUGAAGCUGCGACUCGCUGCGACUCACUGCGACGUGCGACUCGCUGCGACGUGUGAGGAGGGCCCAAAAAGAUGCUAGAAUGAAUAGAUGUGGAUGCGGGGAGGGGCCCAUAGAAAAUGCCUUUCUACAGGGCCCAUAUUUUUAUGCUACGCCACUGGCAGCACCGGAGCAAUCUCGGAAGUGGAACGUCAAGGAUAUAGACUAGCUGUUAGUUAGCCAUUUGAGCAUGUAGCUUGCGAAGAGUGUCACUGCGACUCAUCAAAAUCUGACGAAAAUCUUUUAAACUGACCUUUGUUGAUCUGAAAUGAAGACAGAUUCAGCAACUGC